UCUUGGGUAGCUCAAUGGUGGAGCAACCGGCUGUUAACCGGUAGGUUGUGGGUUCGAGUCCCACCCCAAGAGCCA
rnacentral:tRNA from 2 species